rnacentral:rRNA from 1 species
UACGUAGGGGGCAAGCGUUGUCCGGAAUCAUUGGGCGUAAAGAGCGCGUAGGCGGUCCGGUAAGUCCGCUCUGAAAGUCCGGGGCUCAACCCCGGAAGGCGAGCGGAUACUGUCGGGCUAGAGUCCGGAAGAGGCGAGUGGAAUUCCUGGUGUAGCGGUGAAAUGCGCAGAUAUCAGGAGGAACACCAAUGGCGAAGGCAGCUCGCUGGGACGGUACUGACGCUGAGGCGCGAAAGCGUGGGGAGCAAACAGG